rnacentral:tRNA from 1 species
GGCCGGAUAGCUCAGUGGUUAGAGCAUCUUAGCAUUUCACCAGUGGUCCUGGGUUCAAUCCCCAGUCUGGUCA